rnacentral:rRNA from 1 species
GAAUGAUUUCUGGCGGUAGCCCUAAGACAUGAAAGUCGAACGAAGUCUUCGGACUUAGCGACGUACGGGUUAGUAACGCGUGGGAACGUGCCCUUUGCUCCGGAAUAGCCCCGGGAAACUGGGAGUAAUACCGAAUGUGCCUUCGGGGGAAAGAUUUAUCGGUUAAGGAUGGGCCCGCGUUGGAUUAGCUAGUUGGUGGGGUAAUGGCCUACCAAGCCGACGAUCCAUAGCUGGUUUGAGAGGAUGAUCAGCCACACUGGGACUGAGACACGGACCAGACUCCUUCGGAAGGCAGCAAUGGGGAAUCUUAGACAAUGGGCGCAAGCCUGAUCUAGCCAUGCCGCGUAAUCGUUGUAGUCCUUAAGGAUGUAAAGAGCUUGCAGGUGGUAAGAUAAUGACGGUACCUAAAGAAGAAGCCACGGCUAACUCCGUGCCAGGAGCCGCGGUAAUACGGAGGGGGCUAACGUUGUUCGGAAUUACUGGGCGUAAAACGCACCGUAGGCGGAUUGCUAAAGUCUGAGUGUGAAAUCCCAGGGGCUCAACCCGUGGAAGGUGCCUUUGAAACUCGGGGAUCUUGAGGUCGAGAAGAGGUGAGUGGAAUUCCGAGUGUAGAGGUGAAAUUCGUAGAUAUUCGGAGGAACACCAGUGGCGAAGGCGACUCACUGGCCUGAAACUGACGCUGAGGUGCGAAAGCGU